UACGGAGGGGGCGAGCGUUAUUCGGAAUUAUUGGGCGUAAAGGGCGCGUAGGCGGCUGUACAAGUCAAAGGUGAAAUCCCUCGGCUCAACUGAGGAACUGCCUUUGAAACUGUACGCUUGAGGCCGGGAGGGGGUAGCGGAAUUCCCAGUGUAGCGGUGAAAAUGCGUAGAUACUGGGAGGAACACCAGUGGCGAAGGCGGCUCACUGGACUGGUAUUGACGCUGAUGUGCGAAAGCGUGGGGAGCAAACAGG
rnacentral:rRNA from 1 species